UGGCUCAUGAUGCUAAGUUAUUUAUCUUAGCGGAUUUCAGUGAGAUUUCUAUCAAUGAUCUGAUUGUUACACACACUGAAGCCA
rfam:Glycine max cultivar Williams 82 chromosome 6, whole genome shotgun sequence.